rnacentral:tmRNA from 1 species
GGGGAUACCACGGUAUUGACUGAAUAUAGUCGUAAACUGUAAGCAUGUAGUGCUAGAUUGGAAGCACUUUAAACUGUCUAUUGAACAAUGAAUUGACAACGAUUUUAUCGUAUCAGAAAAUUUCCUUAACGAAGCUGCGUGCAGCUUUGCUGGAGAGUUAGCAGCUGCUUAAGACUGCAAAUGGUGGUAAACCACCGAGAUGAUGGUAGUCCAUUGAUGGUAGUAAGCUACUGGUGGAAGCAACUUCCCACGGUAAAAAAGAGCGCAGAGAUUUUGUUGGUUUACAACUAAAGAAAAACCAAAUAAACAUGUAGAAAGCUUUUGAAGAAUAUUCAACACAGGGGUUCGAUUCCCCUUAUCUCCAA